rnacentral:rRNA from 1 species
AACGGCUAUGCCAUGCUGAAUAUACCGGUUCUCGUUAGAUCACCGAAGUAAAGCAUCAUUGGGCGCGGUCAGUACUUGGGUGGGUGACCACCUGGGAACACCGCGUGCCGUU